rnacentral:rRNA from 1 species
UGAACGCUAGCUACAGGCUUAACACAUGCAAGUCGAGGGGCAGCAUUGGGAUAGCUUGCUAUCCAGAUGGCGACCGGCGCACGGGUGAGUAACGCGUAUCCAACCUUCCCUAUAGUAGAGAAUAGCCCGGCGAAAGUCGGAUUAAUGCUCUAUGUUGUGUUUUGAGGACAUCUGACGAACACCAAAGGUUCACCGCUAUAGGAUGGGGAUGCGUCUGAUUAGCUUGUUGGCGGGGUAACGGCCCACCAAGGCGACGAUCAGUAGGGGUUCUGAGAGGAAGGUCCCCCACAUUGGUACUGAGACACGGACCAAACUCCUACGGGAGGCAGCAGUGAGGAAUAUUGGUCAAUGGGCGAGAGCCUGAACCAGCCAAGUAGCGUGCAGGAUGACUGCCCUAUGGGUUGUAAACUGCUUUUAUCAGGGAAUAAAGUGCGGCACGUGUGCCGUUUUGUAUGUACCUGAUGAAUAAGGACCGGCUAAUUCCGUGCCAGCCGCUGC